CGGAAAUGUUUCGUUAAAUUAAAUUCAAAUCCGAAUUGAAUGUUUAUGACACACAAAACGAGAAACCAGAAUCUCUUGAUGACCAAACGUAUGAACACGUUGGGGCGAUUUAGAGCUUUUCAGAAGAAGUGAGAUUCAACCCUUGUUGAAAGCCUUGUGGAGACCUCUAGAUUUUUAAAUUCCCUCCGUUUUUCUCAUGGAUG
rnacentral:lncRNA from 1 species